UCUCUAAUUGUGGAGCACAGGCUCCAGGGCGCAGGCUCAGCAGUUGCGGCGAAUGGGCUUUGUUGCGCCACAGCAUGUGGGAUCUUCCCGGACCAGGGAUCAAACCCACGUCCUCUGCAUUGGCAGGUGGAUUCUUUACCACUGAGCCACCAGACAAGCCCGCCCUCAGGGGAGUGCUCGCAGAAAUGCUACUACAUUUUCAUCGUGGAGACCGUCUGCGUGGCCUGGUUUUCCCUCGAGUUCUGCCUGAGGUUUGUCCAGGCCCAGAACAAGUGCCAGUUCUUCCAAGGGCCCCUGAACAUCAUCGACAUUCUGGCCAUCUUCCCCUACUACGUGUCCCUCGCCGUGUCCGACGAGCCCCAGGAGGACGGCGAGCGGCCGGGCGGGAGCUCGUACCUGGAGAAGGUGGGGCUGGCGCUGCGCGUGCUGCGGGCUCUCCGCAUCCUCUACUUGAUGCGCCUGGCACGCCACUCGCUGGGGCUGCAGACGCUGGGCCUCACGGUGCGCCGCUGCACGCGCGAGUUCGGCCUGCUCCUUCUCUUCCUGUGCGUGGCCAUCACUCUCUUCUCUCCUCUGGUCUACGUGGCUGAGAAUGAGUCCGGGCGGGUCCUGGAGUUCACUAGCAUCCCGGCCUCCUAUUGGUGGGCCGUCAUCUCCAUGACAACAGUGGGCUACGGAGACAUGGUACCCAGCAGUGUGCCGGGCCAGAUGGUGGCCCUCAGCAGCAUCCUGAGCGGCAUUCUCAUCAUGGCCUUCCCGGCCACGUCCAUCUUCCACACCUUCUCGCACUCCUACCUGGAGCUCAAGAAGGAGCAGGAGGAGCUGCAGGCCCGCCUCCGCCGCCUGCAGAACGCGGCCAAGGCCAGCGAACACGAACUCCUGAGGGACGUCAGUGACCUGAGCCUGGAGGGCCCUGCCUUGCCCAUCGCAUACAUUUAACUCAAAAUCCUCCCCCGAAGAUGCCAGACCUUCAGCGCAUGGCCCUCGGCUGACAUGAGCUGGAGAACACCAGCGCCUGGAUCCUCCAGGAGUGUGUUUGUAGAGCUUGGGGGCUCACCCCCAAAGCUGGGAGGGGCUCAAGGCCAAGGAUGUUUGGUCGGGUGAUUCUUGACCCUCCUGGGCACAGUGUUCCGGGCUGGCCUUAUCCAUAUCACUUGCCAUUUCCUCUCUCCCUGCCCCUCGAUAAGCACAUCCAAUUUCGCUGGGUUAGGUCUGUCUCCCUUCCUUGCCAGCAGAGUCUUCAACAUCCCAGGCUGGAUUCCAGACGCCCACAGAACUGAACCUACAGAAUUCCAUUCCUCCCCUAAGACCUUCUUUCCUGGGCCAACGCACCACCAGGAACUGGAGGGGUCAGUCCCUGCAAACCCCUCUGAUCAGAUCUCUCCACCCAGCCCUACCAGUGGUUCCAGCCGGGGUCAGUGUACUCUCCCAUUGCUCAC
ensembl:lncRNA